AUACGUAGGUGGCAAGCGUUGUCCGGAUUUAUUGGGCGUAAAGCGAGCGCAGGCGGUUUCUUACGUCUGAUGUGAAAGCCCCCGGCUUAACCGGGGAGGGUCAUUGGAAACUGGGAGACUUGAGUGCAGAAGGGGAGAGUGGAAUUCCAUGUGGAGCGGUGAAAUGCGUAGAUAUAUGGAGGAACACCAGUGGCGAAGGCGACUCUCUGGUCUGUAACUGACGCUGAGGCUCGAAAGCGUGGGGAGCAAACAGGAUUAGAUACCCUGGUAGUCCACGCCGUAAACGAUGAGUGCUAAGUGUUGGAGGGUUUCCGCCCUUCAGUGCUGCAGCUAACGCAUUAAGCACUCCGCCUGGGGAGUACGGCCGCAAGGCUGAAACUCAAAGGAAUUGACGGGG
rnacentral:rRNA from 1 species